UGCCUGUGUUGUGUGCAUUGGUGUAGAUGCACUUCAGAUGGGCUAUUGAUCCCGCCACCUUUUUGAGGGGUGAUACCUUAAUUCCUACAUGACCGUUCUCAGGUACUCCCACCAUUUCUAACUCACCAAUAACCCUUGCAUCUUUGCUGCCUUUAAAAGGAAAAUUUAUUAUCUGAGUGUUUUUUAACUGUGUUCUCCAGUCCUGUGCACUUGAUUGUCAUAAUCUAGAGCCAUACCAGUCUCUGGGUAGCAGGUUUUUAGCAAUUCAGAAGAUUUAUGUGUCUGUUGCUGAGCUGAAUGCCAUUCUUUGACUUUGCAUCUUACAGCAGUUUAAAGCUUUGGGGCAUUUGUCUGUCAUGAUUGAUGUUUGUCAUGAUGUACUGCACAAACAUCUUUAAAAACACUGGAUGCUGCUGCUUUCCAGAGCUGCUUAAAAGAAUUGUCAUGUCUCAGCUAAAAUGGAAAAGAAUUGCUCAUCUGAGGCAAAGAGCUCUCACAGAGCUUGUCUUCAAAAUCGGUAAUCAGAAGUGACUGCUCUUCAGGAGAUCAGAGCUUCCAGUGUAUCAUGCUGGGCUUCUAUUCUACCAGAGGAUGAAAUGACUAACGAUGCUACUAGGAAUUAGUGAUGCAAGAGGUCAUGCGUGUUAGAAUUUUCGCAGAAUCCACUGACUGUGUUCUUUUCAUUCAAAGAUAUGAUCUCCAUGGUCUCCUCCCACUAUUAAAUGAGAAAAAGGAAUCUAAUAGGACUCAGAUCCCAUGAAAAAGAAAUCCCUCCAUGAUACAGGAGUGUGGGAAAAGAUGAAGGACCACUUGUGUAGUUAGAUUUAAAGGACAGAUUUAAGUCAUAAGGAAUGGUUAUACUACUGUUACUACUAACAGACUUCUGAAACACAGAAUAUUUCUAGUGUGUUACCAUUAACAGAGAACAAAGACAGUCUUUAGUAAUUUCUUCCUCUCUUCCUUUCCCUUCCUCAUAACAAGGAUAAGGAUUUUGCUCCUGAAACAAGUCAUGGGGUAAAGACUGCACCACACCAUGACAGAGUAGUCAUGAGGUCUUAUAACUGAUCUGAAUCUUGGCUGUGUCAUACCUUGAAGAAGUGGCAUGAUACAAGGUAUUUAGCAGUGGUAGUGACCUUUGUCUUAUGAAAGCUUACCUGAAAACUCCUAAAGAAGAAAUGACCUGAAAUGGGGGUUCUACCUUGGAAAGGAAGACUAAAUGCAUUCAAUGGAUGAAUAAUCAAGACCCUCCACAAGAUAAAGUGAAAGAACUUUACCUAGCCUAGAUGGCAUAUUAUAACUGAAAACUAGAAGCAAAGGAAAACUGUUAAAAAAAAAAAAAGUCCUAUAUAGCUUUCAGAAUUAAUACAGACAUGCUGGAGUUAUGAGACUGGAUGUCCUUAUAUAAGAAGCAACAAUGACAACACUUUCUUGUUAAAAAAUCAAAGCUGAAGUCUUGUUCUCUGACUAAUGGGGGAGCAAGUGUAAACUGGAGAGACCCAAUCUCUCUUACUGCAGCCUAUCAAGCCGAAUCCAGAUGACUCACGCAAACAGCCUGCAGUCACAGAAGAAUGGAUCCAAACUGGUUGUCCAUGUCUCAUGAAGCUGUGGCCCACAAGGUGUAGGCAAUACUGGACAUACUGCAUUCCUAACAUUGCUUCUCCUUCUGUGUCCAAGCAUCGAGUGCCGCUAAGCAGCACUUCCCAGCAGUG